UUUUUUUCAUGUGUUGCCAUGGUGCUUGGCUCCAGCCUUGAUGAACGAAACCGGAAGAUGUCAGGCUGGAUGAAAAGUGAGUGGAAUGAGAGAGGAAAGAAAAGAAAAAGAAUAAUCAAGGGAAACGCAGGCGAAGAGACGAGCAGGAGACUUGUGAUCUAAAAGUUGGGAGGAGGAAAAAAGACCCGUCUGCUGAUUAGAGCCUCCCUUAAAUCCUUAAACGUAUCUGUCCUCUUGCGGAUUGUAGCGUUUUAGUGUUAGCCCGUGCUGAAUCAUCAGAUCCUUCACUGGUCUGAUUGUCUCCACAGUCCAGUAUGCCCUCAUUUCUGCUCCUGACCAGAUCUGCUGUGCCUGAACACGGUGGGCACAUCAUCGGUAGCCUCAGACCGAGUUCGACAGAUGUUGCCGUUACCAUGACAACAAGAAAGCCAUUUACCUGACCUUUAAUGCUAACUAACGCCUGUUGGACCAGGGGCACUUCAAGAAAAAGACAAAAGACACGAAAGUUGAGGUCACACUGUGCCACAACAGCAGCACCGAGGAAACAGCUCUCGUGGGAUCAAGGGGAGGUACUUAAAUACAUUUUAAAACCCUUUCUCUUCUUCAGUGGCUUUUCUUUACCUCCCUGCAGUAUGUGCAAAAGGUUUAAUAAAUGAAUAUUUAGUGUGUUUUUUGUUACCAAGACUAAUGGCUUAAACUCUUAUACCCUAAAGUGCCAUUGUUUUUCAUAUCCUGUAUGGUUUUUAUUGAGGAGUAGCACACAAAAAAACACAGCUAUGUCGCAUCACAGUAGUGUAUAGUACACAGGAGUCUGCGCAGAGCACAGCAGAUGCUCACCAAGUAGCAUUCAUCAAAUUGUACAGUCAGUGGUUGCUGCAAGUUACUAACUAACCACAACACUCAUAAUUUAAUUGCCAAGUAACUAAAAGCAGGAAGUCGCCAGAGCCCCCCAAUUAAUUUAGUUUUGUUAUUAUUGUAGCGUGAACAGAUGUUAAAUUGAUCAUCAUGAAACUUCAAUUGCUUUGACCUACGCUAAGGAGCUUUUUAUUUACCGCAUGGCAGCUCAUAUUAAAUUACCUCUUCCCCCUGAAAACUACUUCAUUUGCAUACUCGAAAGUACAAUGAAAGCCGCACAUGUUGAGCUGAGUUUGAACAAUUCUGGAAAUGUUCGAGUAACACAUGACAUCAAGCCAUUUGAAUCCAGAGUCUGAUUCAUCUCAGUAUGCAUACAGGCCUCAUUAUGCGCUGUCUCAUGUCCCGGAAUAAAGGCAUCAGGGAGGAAAUUUGAGUUACUUAU
rnacentral:lncRNA from 1 species